AACGCCGACAUGCAUCAGACUAUCACAGGUUCUGACUUGAAUUGUGUAACAGAGGCUUCUGAUUUUUCAGUUGCUCAUCUAUUUCUUAAUAUCUGUUACAACAUUUUGAAAAGUAGAUCAGGCAAAGUUCAGUUGAUCACACCAAAACAUUACCAUCUAAGGUAAUAUUUUUGCGCAGUAAACAGAUUUUAUAGCAUACAUGUUUUUCUAGACUAACUUCGUAUACGGCUGAAACUGUAAAUGCACUCAGGCGCAAUCUUUAACCGCACAGGAUGUUCUACUUUUAUUUCCGCUUUGCCAUCAUUCAGUGAAUGGUAACAUUUUGUCUAUUGACCCCCCGAAAGAAGCCCCCGUCUUACGAAAAAGGAGAAAAAGAAAGAAGUUAAAAACAGAACUGCAUCUAGCGUAAUGACUGCGGAGCAUUGCGGUGUCUAACUUCUUUUUGGUCAGGUUUUGGACUGACCACCAUUUACGUAAAGGCUCAUUCGAGUACAGCAGCAGUGCGCAGGAUCACACCAGCUCUUCUGCUAGACCCACCUCUGCGUUCUUCCCAUGUGGUGGUUCCAGGAGGGACUCUGUGCACUCCCUGCAUUCCUGGUGGUCUGCUCAACGGCCACCUUCAUGUUGCCUUAUGUCAUAGCUGUAAUGUUGAGCCACGUGGAUCCCUGGUUGCCCUAUAUAAGUGACUCUGGCACCCAGCCUCCAGAACGCUGUUUGUUUGGGAUAAUGCUCAAUAUCUCCUCCUUCCUAGGUAUGGCAACCAUGUAUGUGCGUUACAAACAAGUGCAGGUCCUGAUGAUGAGGGAGAAACACAGAGUACACUGCCUGAAUGCACUCGGCCUGGCUCUGGGCUUCGGGAGCUGCCUGGGAAUGUGUGUUGUUGCCAAUUUCCAGAAAAGCACCCUGCUCUUCAUGCACCUUCUGGGGGCUGCCAUGACCUUUGGCCUGGGGAUGCUGUAUGUCCUGGUGGAGUCGGCAGUGUCCUACCACAUGCAGCCACACGUCCACAGCAAGAGGGUGUUCCUGGUGCGCUUGGCCAUGGGCCUGUGGAGCUUGGCCAGUAUUAUCAUCAUGAUUGUGUCUUCAGCCAUCAGCUACAGCAGUCUGCCUGCUGUUGAUGUGAUCCUGAAGUCGCACUGGGUCCCUGGGAUGCCUGCCUACACAGCCCACCUGGUCAGCACUAUAGCUGAGUGGUCUGUCGCUUUCUCCUUUGUUACAUUCUUCCUUACCUACAUACGUGACUUCCAGAAAAUCACACUGCGGGCAGAGGCUGAACUGAGGAGCAACCACUUGUAUGACUCUACACGCUACAAUGAGAGUUCCCGCUUACACCACAGAGAGGAAUCCCCAUUGCUGGCUGGGAAUAUUUGAGCAAGGGUCCCCGUUCUGGAAGGAGGACUGCCACAGCAUCAUUUAAGUAACAGUCAUGUCAAAGUUCUCUCAUCAAACUAAAUAGCUCUUUAACCAUUAAGUGUAGGCCUCCUGAUUUUUUUUCAGAAUGGAACUACUUCACAAAGUUGGCACCAUUAACCAGCUUACCUUUCAUUGAGAUGUGUUUUUCAUUUUUAAAUAUUGAACUGAAGAAAUCCACAAGCUGUUCAGCACAAGGCCACAAUAUCGCGGUGUCUUUUGGGACUGUUCAGCCAAACGUUCUAAUCCUGCUCAGUCAUUACCGCUAUGUGUUCUGCAGAAGGAAUUGUACAAAUGUACGUGAAAACAGGAUAAACAUGUGAAACGACUCUACGUUUGGCUUGAAAUUACUUGAGUUCUACUACAAAUAUUCAGUAAAUGGGAUCAGAGCAAUUUGUAUGUAAUGACAAGCUAAUGAACUAUGCUUUCCAGGAAACUUUCACAGUAAUCUCCGUCUUCAUUUUUGUGGCCGGAGUAGUUUUUCGUGAGCUAAUGGUAUAUGGUAUGUUUUACGCAUAAGCGAGUCAACGCUUCACAACGCUGCACAACCCUUCCCCGGAUCUUUAAUGGGAUAGGCCUACUGGUCCUUUAAAACUGAGUUCCCAAAUAAAGUUUCCGUAAACGUUGGUGCUGCUGAGAAAUAUGGGGAAAUCACCGAGUUUACUGGGAAUUUCCUCACAUUCCGUGGUAUUAGUAUAUGGGGAAAACGAGAUUAAUAAAAGUCCCGGUAGUUUUAAAACUAGAUGGUGUGGCAAAGAAAAAUCUAUUUAGUGUUUGCGUCGCGAAGUAUGCAACAGAUUUUCCGGGUAUUUAAAAUGUAGACCGUUAAAAUUAAAGUGGUGAAUCGGGGUAUCUCUAUAACCUAAAAACGAUCGGCGAUAUUUUUAGCCGAAAAGCAGCCCACAUAUCAACACGGGGAAAUUACUGUACCGUUUUGGUUAAUUAUAUACAUAUAUGUCAACACAUUUGAUGUAAAAAGUGACAGGAGUUUGAGACAACACUUGCGAAAUUUACCGUAAGUUGAUUUUUUUUAGUCCUUGGCAUGCAUGGUCGUCGGAGGUUCAUGGGAAGUUCAGAGAGAUUAACUUUUGGUGGAUUUUGAACUGCUGUUGUAGUAUUGUGUUAAAGGGUGACUGAUCUUGGUCUGCCCUGUGUGCCGAUUAAAUCUGUAUCUUGGCCCUGUAUUUAAUUCUAUGUACAUGAGAUUUAGAAGUUGUAGUUUAGAAAAUACAAGUUAUUCGUUUUCAUAGCAGAAUUUUAAAAUGAAAUAUUUGAUGUUAUGAUGCCAUAUGUGACUCUCCACACAAUGCCAUUCACUUAGAUUCUGUUUUACAAGCAGAGGGCAGCUGUCCCGGGAUGCUAUAGUACUAACCUGGAGUGAGUACACUUUGCAGAGGUCCUUCCCAGUCAAACCUUUGAGCCCUAGUACCCCUAAAUAAACUCAUUUACAUUUA